CGGACGGAUAAUACGUGCGUCCAACAUCUUCGCAAGCUCUUCUUUCAGCCAUGCUUUCUUUUCUCUGGUGAGGCCGCCCGGUGGAUUUUUUCACGGG
rnacentral:lncRNA from 1 species